UACGUAGGGUCCGAGCGUUGUCCGGAAUUAUUGGGCGUAAAGAGCCCGUAGGCGGUUUGUCGCGUCUGCUGUGAAAUCCCGAGGCUCAACCUCGGGUCUGCAGUGGGUACGGGCAGACUGGAGUGCGGUAGGGGAGAAUGGAAUUCCUGGUGUAGCGGUGGAAUGCGCAGAUAUCAGGAGGAACACCGAUGGCGAAGGCAGUUCUCUGGGCCGUAACUGACGCUGAGGAGCGAAAGCGUGGGGAGCGAACAGG
rnacentral:rRNA from 1 species